rnacentral:rRNA from 1 species
CCUACGGGAGGCAGCAGUGAGGAAUAUUGGUCAAUGGGCGCGAGCCUGAAUCAGCCAAGUAGCGUGAAGGAUGACUGCCCUACGGGUUGUAAACUUCUUUUAUAUAGGAAUAAAGUGAGGUAUGCGUGCCCUUUUGUAUGUACUUUAUGAAUAAGGAUCGGCUAACUCCGUGCCAGCAGCCGCGGUAAUACGGAGGAUCCGAGCGUUAUCCGGAUUUAUUGGGUUUAAAGGGAGCGUAGAUGGGUUGUUAAGUCAGUUGUGAAAGUUUGCGGCUCAACCGUAAAAUUGCAGUUGAUACUGGCAGUCUUGAGUACAGUUGAGGUGGGCGGAAUUCGUGGUGUAGCGGUGAAAUGCUUAGAUAUCACGAAGAACUCCGAUUGCGAAGGCAGCUUACUAGACUGCCACUGACAUUGAUGCUCGAAAGUGUGGGUAUCAAACAGGAUUAGAUACCCCAGUAGUC